GCAUGCGUGAUGCUUGUGGCGAGGGGUUUGUGUGAGGCGGGUUCUCCUUUCCCCUCUGCUUUUACUUUUAAUUAUAAAUUAUGUGGGGCUAGAAUUAGAGCUCAGCAGAAAAUCGCAAUAAAAGGAGCAAGAAACGCGAAGAAAAGGGCAACCCCCCUCAAACAUCCAACACAAAAUGCACCGUAACAGCACUGACGGGUGGUGGUCCUGCUGAGGAGAAGCGGAUGCAUCGGCCUCAAACACACUCAAGGCCGAGCAGUCACUGGAUCUCGAAAUCACCAAGAACUUGUCACAAACUUCAGCAGAGAAAUUCAUGUUUUCAGGAAACUGGGGAGCUGCCAAGAAGUGACAGUCAAUAAAUGACACGACAAACCUGAAAAAGAGGAAGCAGUUGCUACAUGUGGGGAAAUACCGUAGCAAUGCUACACCACUUUCUAACUGAAGUAUUUUCAGUCCCAGUUUCUCUUUAAUCCUCCUUCCAGACAGUGCUAAAAGCCCAGUCUACAAGGAAUUAAGGAAACAAUACACAGGUUUUUGCAGUUAAUGAUAUCCUGGAGACUCAAAUGGCUUUCACGUGCUGAAAGUGAUACUCAAACCAUAAAGGGACAACACAACAUGAGGAAGGAAUAUAGCAGUAAGUUUUACAGAUUCAAAGCACUCAUCUUAAGAGCUGCAGUAAAACAACAUGUUCCAGCAAAGA